rnacentral:lncRNA from 1 species
AAAAUUGGCACAAAUUGAAAAUUUUCCAAAAACGAAACUAUCAAGUUGACGACUCUGUAACUCGGCAAUGAAAAAUGGUAUCACAGCUCUGUAAAUUGCAUCUAAUAGUGCAUCUAAAACAGACAAAAUUGAUGUAUUAUACAUGGCUCUUAA